AAGUGGUCGCGCGUUCGGUUGGCAAAAUCCGAGCGCUCGAACUACCUUCGGUUGGUUCUUUCGGAGCGCCAGCCUCCGACUCGGAGCGCUCCCGACCGCUCUGACUUCGAAGUGAGAGCGUGGUGCGAUCUGGCCGGGAGGGGGGCUCACGUGGCACUAGACGCCGCUUAUGUUUUCUGG
rnacentral:lncRNA from 1 species